rnacentral:tRNA from 1 species
GGGGCUGUAGCUCAGUUGGGAGAGCGCAUGAAUGGCAUUCAUGAGGUCAGGGGUUCGAUCCCCCUCAGCUCCA